rnacentral:rRNA from 1 species
UACGUAGGGCGCAAGCGUUGUCCGGAAUUAUUGGGCGUAAAGAGCUCGUAGGUGGUGUGUCGCGUCUGCCGUGAAAGCCCGGGGCUUAACUCCGGGUCUGCGGUGGAUACGGGCAGACUAGAGGCAGGUAGGGGAGAACGGAAUUCCCGGUGUAGCGGUGAAAUGCGCAGAUAUCAGGAGGAACACCGGCGGUGUAGACGGCUCUCUGGACCGUAACUGACGCUGAGAUACGAAAGCGUGGGUAGCAAACAGG